UGGGGUGUAGUGUAACGGUAGCACCACAGAUUCUGAUUCUGUUUGUCUGGGUUCGAAUCCUAGCACCCCAA
rnacentral:tRNA from 3 species